GGUGCUCGCAUCCCACAUAUAUAUAUAUUUAUAAUGAAUGCAUCGUCAAAUAUUUAUAUAUAUAUCCUGAAGUAAAUUUUGCAAUAACAAUGAUUAGCAACUGUGGAUGCAUUAAGCUUUCAAUGCAAAUGGAUAUAUGGAAAUAAUCCCCUAGAAGAGUGUUUCUCAACCAGUGGUCCGCAGAAAAAUGGCAAUUGGUAUAAAUCACACACACACACACACACAAUUUUAGGUUCAAAUUAAAACUAAAUAUCUAGAAUUACAAAAAGAAGUCUUAACAAUUUUCGACCAUAACACUCUUAAAAUCAAAAGCAAAAAAUCGUUUAUUAAUAAAUCCAGCUUGCACUUAGCAGUCAUAAAUAUAUCUCCCCUUGAUAAAAUAAUUACUGAAAAGAAUCAACAAUGAUUGCAUUAAUUUUUGAUAGUAUAAUUUUUAUUAUGUUUCGCUUAUUUAUUUAAGUAUUACUCUUUGCUUUUCUUCGGAUUUUGUUUACUAAUUUAACAUUUUAUUAGUUAAUUUACUUUUGUAUAGUUUCGUCGAUUAUUCUGUUUUCUUUUUUAUUAUUCUUAGAAAAAAUAUAUAUACACUAAAUUUGUUAAACAUUAUAAUAAUUGAUCCGUAAUAAAAUAAUUAAAAAAUUGAUUGAUUCACGGAAUGUAAUCAGUUGAGAAACGCUGCUCAAAAUAAACUUGUACCUGUUUUUUAA
rnacentral:lncRNA from 1 species